AACGCGCCAAGUGUCUUGACGCGUUCGCUUCCCGCGAGGAGUUCAAAACGUGAAGGACCACUCAUCGGCGUUCAAUUGGAUAAUAAUGCUUUCGCAUUCACCACUCACAAGAAGUGCUUAGGUGUCGUCCCAUCUUUAUUAAAGCGAGACGAGACAGCAACCUAGCUAUCCACCCCAAAGUGCGAAGAAUGUGGCAAAGAAUUCUUCGCAAUAGAAAGUGAGGGGCACAUAUUACCAUCCUAUAUUUUCAAGCGCCAAUUUCAAAAAGGAGAAAGAAAAGAUGUUUGCUUGAAGUUAGGAGCACCAAGAGUGUCACUGGAAAUUAGCGUGUGCUCCCACAAGUUCGUACAAGUCUACUGCCCUUCUUUAUUUUAAUCUGCAACCGGCUUCGACGAAAUUCUGUAAUUGAUAUGAUGUUAAAGUAUGAUAUUUCUAGCAUAUUUUUGUAGUAUUAUGACGUGUCUUUUAUGCAAAAGAUUGUGUGAAAGAAAAAAAGAAAUAAAGAUAGAAAGAAAGGAAGAAAGUAAGCAGUGCAACUAAUGGCGCUUAGACUAACAGUAGUAGAUUUUUAGAAAUGUACCUGCAUAUUGACACGUGGACUGUUUUAUCUUUUUCGGGUGAGCGCUUUUCACCGUCGAACAAAUGUUAUCGCUCAGCCCGGGACGCGCCGGCAUGUAUCGGAAGUUUCUGGAAUGUUAUCGAUGGUUCUAUCCGCCGUCUGUUGUAACCAAACCUUGUUUAAUCUAAUGGCAUUUAUGUGUGACGCGAAUGAUGUAAGCUUUCAGAAGGACACGUGGGCACCAGCGAUUUCUCUGGAACGUUCGAUGGCUCGUGCAGAAAAGCCGACGCACUUGAACCGCAGAUAAGAUUUUCGAAGAUCGCCGACUGUGUUCGCCGCUAUCGUUGUUCCUUGAGUGUAGCCUGCUUUUCAGGGAACAAGUUCGCCCAUUGAAAGGCUAGUUUCGUCAAUCACAGUUCUACUGCCUUCUUCACCGUCACACUACUAAGUGACACUAUAUAGUUUUCUUCCCGAUAAGAGUAUGGGAGAUGUAUAGGAUUGUGUGUCCAGGAUGUCCUUGCACGAAUGUUUUAUCGUUCCAGCUCCAUUUGUAGAUGGCUGUUCAUUUCCCUGGAGCGGAAAGUGCGGUUUUUUGAAGUGGCCGCAAUGCAGUAUAGAUAAGAAGACUUGCAUGUGUGCCUGCUGAUCCAUUUCUUUUAGUAGCAGCAUGGACUGACAAACACGAAAAAAAUUACUAAACCUCGUGCCGCUUAUGCCAUUGCUGGAUGGUUUAAAUGAAUGCUGUAAUGAAGAGGAAUUUUCCGCCCAUGGAAAACUGACGAAUUUUUCAAGUUCUUACUAUAAUGUUCAUACUACACUAUGUUAGUGAAUAAAUCUAUGAUUUCUGUUAAUCUUGA